CUCGUAGGCGGCUUGUCGCGUCUGCUGUGAAAACCCCGGAGCUCAACUCCGGGCCUGCAGUGGGUACGGGCAGGCUAGAGUGCGGUAGGGGAGAUUGGAAUUCCUGGUGUAGCGGUGGAAUGCGCAGAUAUCAGGAGGAACACCGAUGGCGAAGGCAGAUCUCUGGGCCGCUACUGACGCUGAGGAGCGAAAGCAUGGGGAGCGAACA
rnacentral:rRNA from 1 species